rnacentral:rRNA from 1 species
UACGGGGGGAGCAAGCGUUGUUCGGAUUUACUGGGCGUAAAGGGCGCGUAGGCGGUCGUGACAAGUCACUUGUGAAAUCUCCGGGCUUAACUCGGAACGGUCAAGUGAUACUGUCGGACUAGAGUACAGAAGGGGCAACUGGAAUUCUCGGUGUAGCGGUGAAAUGCGUAGAUAUCUGGAGGAACACCGGUGGCGAAGGCGGCAUCCUGGACCAACACUGACACUGAGGAGCGAAAGCCAGGGGAGCAAACGGG